UUGCAGACAGAUAUUUCGAUUAUAUAAAACAUUAUAUAUAAAACAUAUAAAAUAAAUAAAUAUAGUUAUAUAUGCGAUUAUAUAACUAUGCUUUAUAGUACAAAGUAUAUUUCAAUAUAGACUGUAAAAAUGGUGACAAGUCAUAAACAUUUUAAACGUUUAAAAUUAGAGAAGGUUAAAAUGAAAAUAAAAGUAAAGAAAAGUAAACUAUUACCAAAAGAAUUAAAUGUAACAGACAUUAUUUAAAAUUUUAAAAAUCGUGAUUUAUAAACAGUUCUAAUAAAAUGAUGAAGCUGAAAGUGUUAUUAAGCUUAAUGUUGAGAUUACCAUUUGUACAUGGCACAACACCCCACAUAUCUAAGCCAUCCUCUGUCAGCGUUCCAGUCUGUACAAGUAGAUGAAAGUAAAGAAGAAAUUUGAUAUUUCAUAGUCUCCAAAUCUGUAGAUUAAUGACUUUUUAACAAUAUGUUAAUUAUUAUUUUCUAACAUUCUUACCUUAUCAAAACACACACAAUUAAUACUGCCAGAGACAUUAAUGACCCUAUUAUUGAUACAAUAGAUUUGUGUACGUUUUAAUCUUGCUUGUGCAUAUAAUUUUCCUACUGUCAUUGCAGCUGGUAAAGCUGGAGGAACGACUAUUGUAAUUAUAUCUAGAGCUUUAAUUGCAAUAUCACCUGCUGUAAUUCCUCUUGAGGCCUAAUUUUUGUAAAAGAUAUUGAAUAGUCUGAUAGUAGAAAUAGCUAAUAAUAGAUUCAUAGCCAUAGGACUUUUUUCUACCUUGGUAACAACCGUAUAUAUAAAACCACAAGUAGCAACACAUGCGAGUAUUCCAAUGAAUUUAUAUGAAUCUUGAUCGAAUUUGAAGUCUGCUGGUGGAGGAUAUAAUAUAGCUGCGACUAAUGCACCUCUAUUAGUUUGUAGACCUGUUCUAAUGACUCUUGCAAGAACUGGUUUAUUUCCAUAACAUCUACGAUAUGGAAGAUAAUUUGUUGAAUUUUAGAAAUAUUUAGAAAUAUGCAAUUUUACAUUUUUUUUUCAUUAUACAUACCUAGUUUGAAUUAUAGUAGUUCCACUGUAUAAUGUAUGAUGAGAAGACUGUUUUGAAUCAUAUGGCACUUGAUUUGAUGGUAAUGGUGUUUUAGAAACUGGUACAGAUUCACCUAAUCAAAAAAGAAAUAUUUCUUCAAUUGAUAUUAACUGUCAAAUAAAUUUUCAAUGAGAUAUACUUACCAGUUAGCAUAGAUUCAUUUAUUAUACAUUGUCCAGUCAAUAAUACUGCAUCACACACAACUGUCCCAUGAUGGUUUGGUAAUUCUAUAAUAUCACCUGGUACUAGUUCAUUACUUGAAAUGCUUUCAAAUAUACCAGAACUUCGAUAUACUCUAACAUUUUCAAAUGAGGCCACAGUUCCUUUUAGAUUCAGCUGAUUCUAAUGUAUACACAUAUUACAUUUUUACACAUAUUAAAUUAACAAAAAAUAUAAUUGGAUAAUUAUAGUUGUAAUCUAUUUACUUUACGUGUUUGCAAAAUGGAACUUGUAAUUCCAAAAACAGACAUGCAUAUUAUAGCAAUGGUGUAAUAGAGGUACUCUUCGGCAAACCAUACUGCUAAAGUAAAUACUUGAAAGAUGUAAAAAGGAUUUAAAACUUCCAAUAACAAUAAUACACCUAUGCUUUGUACUGGCACAACAAUCUCAUUGUUUCCAUAGACGAUUCGCCUAUAAAGUUUAAAUAAAUAAAAGUAAAUUUUCUGUAUAAGUAGAAUUCGAUAUUAAGCAAUUAAUAAGGUUUAUAUAUUAAAUUACUUUAUUUUAUAUGUUAAAAUACCUUAGGAAUUGCUCUUCCUUAGAAAGUCCUUUGUUCUGACCAAGAUGAAGGUCUGAACACAACAUAUAUUUGUCAAGACCAACGAGUUUAGAAAAUGCGUUUUGUGUAACAUCCCAAAUAUAACAUUGUUUUUUACACCAGAAUGCUUUAUACUCUGUUACUUCAGAUUUUGUACCAUUUUCUAAAUUAAGUUUAAGUUUUUUAUUUCUGACACUUUCAAGCAAGUUUAUACUAUUACUCCCCAAAAUUGAACUGAAUGAUUUAUCACUGAAAAAUGUAUCAUCUAAUAAGAUAUUAUCUCUAUAAGAUAUUAAUUGUUAAUCAAUGAUAAUCGAAAUAUCAUUCCAGUAGAUUAUCUUAUUAUUAUAAUUGAAUUACGUUAUGUACGCUCUUAUGUCUAUUCUUACGAAUUAUAAUUAUAUCAUAAUCAUAUAUAUGUAAUUGAAAUUCAACUGACCUCACGUUUUCAGUAGAUAUUGUCUUAAUGUUCUUCACGAAAUAGGAUUUAUACCUUCCUUGAUAGUCAUCCUGCAUGUAUAAUUAUUGUUAUUUUACGUAAAUUUUUAUCUUCUAUUAAGAGAAAAAUAAUAAUGGUAGGCUUGUGCGUUAAUAAUGAUUUUAAUUGUUUCAAGAAGUAAUAACACUUACGAUCACAAGCAAUUUUGUGGCUUCCUUUAAAGGGCAUUUCCUAUGUGUUGCAUACAAAUACAAUCGCGGGUACCAAUGGAAAAGAAGUCUUACGAAACCGACAGUUAAUAUAUAAGAAAUGUAAAUUAUAAUCGUUUUCAAUGUACUCCUUUCAAAUCCAUAUACUUGCUGAAAUUAUAUAUUUACAUAUUUUAAUAGGGUAUAUCAUAUAUAUAUAUAACAUCGAAGAAUAAAAAACAACAAAAAAGUAAUCUUACUAUAUCUUCAUCUUGGCCAGUUUGGAUCUUUUGACAGUCUAUUUUCGACUGUUCAUCUUUCUUUAUGGCUAGGACAGAAGAUUAACGUAUAUACAUAGAUACAAUUAAAUUAUAAGUAGAAUAUAAUGAAAUAUACAUAUAUUUUGAGAUAGCAGUAAAGAAAUAAGUCACAAUAUAUAAGUUAUAAAUUCUUGUUACGGUUCGUAUUUGUAAAUGGCGCGAUCUUUCGUUGACAUCUUGCCAUUAUCUUAUUUGAUCUGAUACGAUAUAACGAUUAACAUAGUAGAAUAUAUUUAAAAAAAAUAACACAAAAAAAAAAGAAAAAGAAGACGAAUUGUUUCGCCAUGUUAAAAUAGGACGGAGAUUCAGUAAUGGAUUUUUUUAUUUGCCAUUCUAAUACCAUCAAUCAUGUAUAAUAUUACAGAUUUUAGAAAUAAGCUUACGCGAUAAGAAUGCAAUAAUACCUCUGUAAUGUCAUAAAAGUACGUCUCAUAAAAAUUUUAAUUCGUUUGUUUCUUUCACGAAGAUAUAGAUAUAUUACUUUAUUACAUUACAGUGAGCUCUUUUCAAUAAGUAUUAAUACUUUGUUCAAUAUUAUUUUUAUAUUUUAUUUUUGUUUACCAAUGAAUAUGCAAUAAUUAAGUAUCUGUAUUUUGAAAUAAAAGUAAAUUUGUAAAAUUUAAAUACGAUAUAUUGGAAAAUGAACAGCGGAAAAAUGUGCAAAAAAAUGUUUUAUUUUCAUUGUUUAAAAAAUUGAUCCGCUUACCAUUCGAAUUGCUCAUAAUCGCCUCAAAAUAGCUUCGAGAUCGUUUAUCUAAAUAAGGUCAGUGAUUCUGUAUUAGAAACUUUCGCUUUUUCAAGACGUAGUUGUCAGCUUAGAAAACUUUUCUCUCCCUUUAUAUCGCACUGAAAAUAAUUAAAUAUUUACAAUGCAUUCAAUUGUUACGUUAUUGUCAUAUUUAAAUAUCUUUCCUAUGCAUUAUUGGAUAAAAUUCUUACAAUUUUCAUGAUUUACUCGAAUUGUAAAAUUGUAAAAGAAUUUUGACAAAACAUUCAAUCAUCGAAGAAAUUCAAAGCUUAUCCGCGCAAGUCAAGACUCGCGAUAACCUUUUCCUUGAAAAAUCAUUUUAAAGCGGAAGUGACGCGAAAGAUAAAUCAUGGUCGUAUGCGAUUACGUUGACCGUGCACUUGAAUUACACACAGUUAGUACAGCCGUUGUACAGUCAAAUAACGAAAUAAUUCAUUACUCAAAUCAUUCAUACCGUCUAAAUAAAGUUCACAGCUUUUGUAUGAAGUUAGUGCAUAUGCAACUGAUGUAUCGAGAGACUAUAUAACCCGAAAAGAAAGUAAUUUGGUACUAUAAGUGAUGAAUACAUGCUGAUAAGGUGCCAUUAAUGAGUGAAUUACGUUCUCGAAGUUGAUGGCUGUGGGGAGUGGGAAGCAACGGUGUUUGGCGUUGGUGGCGGUGGAGGAUGUUAUUAAUCUCGGAAUAGACGUCAUGCGCGAUCGAGGACGAUCAUGGCUCUCGGCGUACCUCAUGAGGAUAAAUGGAUAGUAGAGGAAGACAGAGAGGGAGAGAAAGGAAGAGGAAGAGGAAGAGGAAGAUAGCAUGGCUCGAGAAGGUGAGGGUGGAGGGAGAAGAACAUCGAUGUUUCCGAGAGUUCAUUCUUCACGGUCGAGCGACUUUUUCAAGGCGAGAGAGAUCAUCCCUCCUCGAGUCCAAGACGAAUGGUCGUAUCUACUACCUUUGCCUGCUCCAUUAUCACAGCAUAACGACAACGACGACGACUAGGAAGAGUUUUCGAAUCUACCGAUGCGUUCGUGGAUCGAAUUUGACUUUGUAAGGCCGUGAAUAAAAAUGGUAUAGGCAUGUAAGUAGUUAGGCAUAUAUCUUCUUGAGGAUAGCAAAGGAAAUAAGAUAAUAUCCCAUCUGAGUAAUAAAUGGAAGAUAGUGAAUGCCGAAGUCUAAUUCUCUUACAUAAUUCUCGAUUAUCUUCCAUUGCCACGAGAUUUUUUUAUUUCCCCUCUUCAGUUCCCUCCGUAUCCGCAUAAUUGUGCGAAAAUCGGGAAGAACAAUUGUAGGAAGUCAAGACAGUAGAAGGGUAUAUCGGUGAGCUUUAAAUCCUUCAGACAGUUUUCUUUGAUCAUUCUCGCUCGUAUCAUCUAUCGUUGCUCUGCUCUACUUUUCUUAAUUAUUUCUUUUUUUUUUUUUUUGAAGAUGGUAAUAAUAACGAGACAGAUGGAUGGAUCGAAUCUCAUUUUGAAACUUGUUUGAUUUUUGUUCUUUGUUUAUAUUUUUUGCAUAAAAUGUUGUUUUAUCGAAUAUGCUUUUAUUUUUUGUUAACUUUAAACUUACUACAUUUAACAUAUUUGAAACUCGGCUCUGA